rnacentral:rRNA from 1 species
GAUGAACGCUGGCGGCGUGCCUAAUACAUGCAAGUCGAGCGAACGGACGAGAAGCUUGCUUCUCUGAUGUUAGCGGCGGACGGGUGAGUAACACGUGGAUAACCUACCUAUAAGACUGGGAUAACUUCGGGAAACCGGAGCUAAUACCGGAUAAUAUUUUGAACCGCAUGGUUCAAAAGUGAAAGACGGUCUUGCUGUCACUUAUAGAUGGAUCCGCGCUGCAUUAGCUAGUUGGUAAGGUAACGGCUUACCAAGGCAACGAUGCAUAGCCGACCUGAGAGGGUGAUCGGCCACACUGGAACUGAGAAACGGUCCAGACUCCUACGGGAGGCAGCAGUAGGGAAUCUUCCGCAAUGGGCGAGAGCCUGACGGAGCAACGCCGCGUGAGUGAUGAAGGUCUUCGGAUCGUAAAACUCUGUUAUUAGGGAAGAACAUAUGUGUAAGUAACUGUGCACAUCUUGACGGUACCUAAUCAGAAAGCCACGGCUAACUACGUG